AAGCUCCUAGCGCCACCCACCCCGUUCUUGAGAAGUUCUUCUCCCAGUUCCUUCUCAGUUCCUCCAAGUCACCCAGCAGCUUGCUCCUUUGUGCUGCGUAGAGCUCUCUUGUGAUCCGCAAGAAGCAGCGCCGCCGCCGGAGCAUCGCCAGUCUUAGUCCUUGCUCGAAGCUUUAGUCCCUCCGCCCAAGUCUGCCUCUUCCCGACCCCAAGCUUUCCUUUCAGGAAGAAGGUGAGUUGCCGACCCUAAGUCCGCCUCGCCCGACCCCUCCUAUCCGCCCGACCCCAGUUCCGUCUCGUCCGACCCUGUCUGUUCCGCCGACCCUUGUCCGCCUAGCCCGAGGGCUUGGCUGUGAUCUUUUUCUUCAACUCGAGGGUGUAUGUGUAAAACUUGGGAACCCUUCAGCGCUUGCGUCUGAGGAUCCCAGUUAUCACAUCCUCUAGUUCAAG
rnacentral:lncRNA from 1 species